rnacentral:rRNA from 1 species
UGCGGAGGGAUCAUUACAAGUGACCCCGGUCUUACCACCGGGAUGUUCAUAACCCUUUGUUGUCCGACUCUGUUGCCUCCGGGGCGACCCUGCCUUCGGGCGGGGGCUCCGGGUGGACACUUCAAACUCUUGCGUAACUUUGCAGUCUGAGUAAACUUAAUUAAUAAAUUAAAACUUUUAACAACGGAUCUCUUGGUUCUGGCAUCGAUGAAGAACGCAGCGAAAUGCGAUAAGUAAUGUGAAUUGCAGAAUUCAGUGAAUCAUCGAAUCUUUGAACGCACAUUGCGCCCCCUGGUAUUCCGGGGGGCAUGCCUGUUCGAGCGUCAUUUCACCACUCAAGCCUCGCUUGGUAUUGGGCAACGCGGUCCGCCGCGUGCCUCAAAUCGACCGGCUGGGUCUUCUGUCCCCUAAGCGUUGUGGAAACUAUUCGCUAAAGGGUGUUCGGGAGGCUACGCCGUAAAACAACCCCAUUUCUAAGGUUGACCUCGGAUCAGGUAGGGAUACCCGCUGAACUUAAGCAUAUCAAUAAGCGGAGGAAAAGAAACCAACAGGGAUUGCUCUAGUAACGGCGAGUGAAGCAGCAAUAGCUCAAAUUUGAAAUCUGGCGUCUUCGACGUCCGAGUUGUAAUUUGUAGAGGAUGCUUCUGAGUAACCACCGACCUAAGUUCCUUGGAACAGGACGUCAUAGAGGGUGAGAAUCCCGUAUGCGGUCGGAAAGGUGCUCUAUACGUAGCUCCUUC